ensembl:lncRNA
AAUAACAAGUUAAAAUAAAACAUUUAAAAAAAUAAGAAAAAUUUUUUAAGUGUUUCGGGACGUAAACUACAUUUUUACCUCAUGACUCACAUGAGUUUACUUUGUGUCAGUUGUGGCGAGCUCAAAAGUGACCACACGAAAGACGAGCAAGGUGUGGGAUUAUUUUGAAUGAGAAGGAAAAAGAAGUUUUGUGUAAACUGUGUAAUGUCAAAUUGGCUUACAAUAACUCUACUGGAGCAAAGCGUAAUCAUAUUCAUUACAGGCACGUAGGCGUUAGCUUGGAGACUAGCCAAAGCCAGCUAAUGUCAAUCACUACAGCCCGCCACCGCACCUUCUAUUCCUCGAAGACCCACUUUGGUGGUGCUGCGUGAUGUCCAGGCGCUUUCCGAUAUUCUGUUGUCUUGCUUUUCAUUAUCUCUGAGUUUUUUUACUGAUAUUUAGUGCCAGUUUAACAUGAAGUGAUGAUUUUGUUCUGUUUGAUGCGUUGGAUGGAAACAGUGCUUGUUUGCAAAUGUUUUAUGUGAUAUUCCAAUUUUUGCACAUAAGUUAAAUUCGCAACUUUGGAUGGAAACCCUAACUUAAUCACCUCAGGUCCUGUCUUUUUUUUUGUUUUGUUAGUUUUGUUUUUAGAUGAUAUAGCCUACAUGACGAGGUAUGUUUUUAAAAGCCAUUUUAAUGCUAUUCCUUGGUAAAAUUCCCUAUUGUUUUUGUCUUGUGUUUUAAUAUGUUGGCUAACGUUAUAUGUAGAUGAAGAAUUCUGUCAGGCUAUUGAUUGAUUUUUAAUUGUUCUGCAUUUCCCCAUCUGAUUUUAAUAAGUAAGCAUUGGCAUAUAUAUAUACACACAUUACAAAUGGGAAACCUUGCAGGACAAUGACAGAAAGCUUGUCCACUGUUGGAACCUGUUAACACUGGUGUUCCACCCUGUUAUGCUCCAUCCAUUCCACCCUGUUAUACUCCAUUCCAUCCUGUUAUGCUCCAUCCAUUCCACCCUGCUAUGCUCCAUCCAUUCGACCCUGUUAUCCUCCAUUCCAUCCUGUUAUCCUCCAUCCAUCCCGUUAUGCUUCCUCUCUUCCCCCCUCUUAUUCUCCAUUCCCUCCUGUUAUGCUCCAUCCAUACCACCCUGCUAUGCUCCAUCCAUUCCAUGCUGUUAUGCUCCAUCCAUCCCUCCCUGUUAUACUCCCUUCCAUCCUGCUAUGCUCCAUCCAUUCCACUCUGUUAUGCUCCAUUCCAUCUUGUUAUGCUCCAUCCAUUCCUCCCUCUUUUGCUCCAUUCCAUCCUCUUAUGCUCCUUCCAUUCCAUCCUGUUAUGCUCGAUCCACAGCACUGUGUUCUACUUCACUCCGCCCUGUUAUGCCCAUUCCAUCCUGUUAUGCUCUAUCCAUUCCACUCUGUUAUGCUCCAUCCAUUCCCUACUGUUAUGCUCCAUUCCAUCUUGUUAUGCUCCAUCCAUUCCUCCCUCUUUUGCUCCAUUCCAUCCUCUUAUCCUCCAUCCAUUUCACCCUGUUAUACUUCAUUCAACCCUGUUAUGCUCCAUCCAUUUCAUCCUGUUAUACUGCCUUCCUCCCUGUUAUGCUCCAUUCCAUCUUGUUAUGCUCCAUCCAUUCCCUACUGUUAUGCUCCAUUCCAUCUUGUUAUGCUCCAUCCAUUCCUCCCUCUUUUGCUCCAUUCCAUCCUGUUAGGCUCCAUCCAUCCCACCCUGUUAUGCUCCAUUCCAGCCUGUUAUGCUCCAUCCAUCCUUUUAUGCUCCAUCCAUUCCCUCCUGUUCUCCUCCAUUCCUCCUUGGUAUACUCCAUUCCACCCUGUUAUGCCCCACACAUUCCAUCCUGUUAUGCUCGAUCCACAGCACUGUGUUCUACUUCACUCCGCCCUGUUAUGCCCAUUCCAUCCUGUUAUGCUCUAUCCAUUCCACUCUGUUAUGCUCCAUCCAUUCCAUGCUGUUAUGCUCCAUCCAUCCUUUUAUGCUCCAUCCAUUCCACUCUGUUAUGCUCCAUUCCAUCUUGUUAUGCUCCAUCCAUUCCUCCCUGUCAUGCUCCAUUCCAUCCUGUUAUACCCCAUCCAUUCCACCCUGUUACACUCCAUUCCAUCCUGUUAUACUCUAUCCAUUCCACCCUGUUAUUCUCCGUUCCACCCUGUUAUGCUCCAUUCAAUCCUGAUUUGCUCGAUCCAUUCCACCAGGUUAUGCUCCAUACCCGCCUGUUAUGCGUAAUCCAUUCCAUCCUGUUAUUCUCCUUCCAUUCCACCCUGUUAUGUCCCAUUCCAUCCUGUUAUGCUCGCUCCAUUCCACCCUGUUAUGCUCCAUUCCACCUUGUUAUGCUAGAUCCACACAAAAUUUUUGUAUUAUUUACUACCCUAUUGGCAAAAAUGGGCACACAAAAUACCUGUUCUUAA